CCUACGGGGGGCUGCAGUGGGGAAUAUUGCUCAAUGGGCGGAACCCUGAUGCAGCGACGCCGCGUGGGUGAGGAAGUACUUCGGUAUGUAAAGCCCUUUCAGCAGGGAAGAAAAUGCCGGUACCUGACUAAGAAGCCCCGUCUAACUACGUGCCAGCAGCCGUGGUUAUGUGGAGGGGGCAAGCGUUAUCCGGAUUUACUGGGUGUAAAGGGAGCGUAGACGGUGUGCCAAGUCUGGUGUGAAAGGCCGGGGUUCACCCCCGGGACUGCAUUGGAAACUGGCAGGCUGGAGUGCCGGAGGGGCAAGCGGAAUGCCUAGUGUAGCGGUGAAAUGCGUAGAUAUUAGGAGGAACACCGGUGGCGAAGGCGGCUUGCUGGACGGUAACUGACGUUGAGGCUCGAAAGCGUGGGGAGCGAACAGGAUUAGAUACCCCAGUAGUC
rnacentral:rRNA from 1 species